AUAAUACUGGAUAGGCAAUUAUUCCUGUAAUGGUUUUUUGUUUAAAUGUUUUUUCGCCUAAGGAUGGGUCUGCGGCCGAUUAGGUAGUUGGUUAGGUAAUGGCUUACCAAGCCUUUGAUCGGUACGGGUUGUGAGAGCAAGAGCCCGGAGAUGGAACCUGAGACAAGGUUCCAGGCCCUACGGGGUGCAGCAGGCGCGAAACCUCCGCAAUGUGAGAAAUCGCGACGGGGGGAUCCCAAGUGCCAUUCUUAACGGGAUGGCUUUUCUUUAGUGUAAAAAGCUUUUGGAAUAAGAGCUGGGCAAGACCGGUGCCAGCCGCCGCGGUAACACCGGCAGCUCUAGUGGUAGCAAUUUUUAUUGGGCCUAAAGCGUCCGUAGCCGGUUUAAUAAGUCUCUGGUGAAAUCCUGUAGCUUAACUGUGGGAAUUGCUGGAGAUACUAUUAAACUUGAGACCGGGAGAGGUUAGAGGUACUCCCAGGGUAGAGGUGAAAUUCUGUAAUCCUGGGAGGACCGCCUGUUGCGAAGGCGUCUAACUGGAACGGUUCUGACGGUGAGGGACGAAAGUUAGGGGCGCGAACCGGAUUAGAUACCCGGGUUGUCCUAACUGUAAACGAUGCGGACUUGGUGU
rnacentral:rRNA from 1 species